rnacentral:tRNA from 2 species
GGAUAGCUCAGAUGGUAGAGCAG